ACAUUAAGUUUGUCAAAGGGGCAAAUGUAAAACAUUGAUUUAAAUUAAUCUUAAAAAUAAUUAAAUAUUUUUAGAAUUGCAUGAGCUUAUACUAUAAAGUGAUCAAAUCAUAUUCCUUUUUAUUACUUACAAAAAGAGAAAAAUAUGGUUAAGAUUCAUAAGUUUAUUUCUGUUAUGAUUUUAUUUUUGUCCCUAAUCCUUCUUUCAAAAGAGAAUGAAGACCGACUUAAAUGUGUAUCCAAAGAUGACUGCCCACCAAUUCGUCACUUGUAUCCUUUAGUUUAUAAGUGCAUUAAAAACUUAUGUGAAGCUUUUAGAAUUACAAGAAUUGAACGUCCAAAAAAAUACAUAGACACCGUGCAAGGAAGAAUUAUCCUAUAAUAUUUCUACACACUAUCUGGUCACUAUUAUAAACAACGAUAAAAAAUUUAGAUUUAUUAAACAAUUGAAGUAUUUGAUAUAUAUAAUAAUGACUAAAUACAUUACUUAUUCAAUAAAUUUAAAAAAUAUUUUGUUGUUUAUAAUAAUGACGCAAGGGUGUAUGAUUUGUCAUUUAAGUUUCAUGUUGCCAUCCAAUAAUUAAACUUCUAAGCUUUUUUUUUUUGUUUUUUUUUUAAUUUUAUAUUUUUGAUAUUAUGGAUUUGUACUCUUAAAUAUUAUAAUAAUGAAAUAAAAUAUGGCACUAAAUAAUAUUAUAAUUA